rnacentral:lncRNA from 1 species
UGGAACAUUCAAAUUUGCUAGGUCUUGUUGCUUAUGUUUGGUUCAUUAGAUGGCCAUGUCCGUUGGUCCAUUCAAUCUAGUCCACAAUCUUUUUAGGCAAUUUCAUUCAUAUUCAUUUCAAUCAAUACCAAGUCCAUUUAAAUAUCAUUUUCAUUUAUAUUUUCAUUCAUUUCCUUAUAUAUUAUCCAUGUACAUAAAAAAAACCACAAGAUUGGCCAAUUUUUUUACAGUUGA